rnacentral:rRNA from 1 species
GCCUACGGGACGCAGCAGUGAGGAAUAUUGGUCAAUGGGCGCGAGCCUGAACCAGCCAAGUCGCGUGAGGGAUGACGGCCCUACGGGUUGUAAACCUCUUUUGUCGGGGAGCAAAUUCCGUUACGUGUAACGGAGUCGAGAGUACCCGAAGAAAAAGCAUCGGCUAACUCCGUGCCAGCAACCGCGGUAAUACGUAGGUGGCGAGCGUUAUCCGGAAUGAUUGGGCGUAAAGGGUGCGUAGGCGGCCUGCUAAGUCUGGAGUGAAAGGUACCGGCUCAACCGGUACAGGCUCUGGAAACUGGCGG